rnacentral:rRNA from 1 species
UACGUACCGUCCGAACGUUGUUCGGAAUCACUGGGCUUAAAGGGCGCGUAGGCGGGCUGCCAAGUCUGGGGUGAAAUCCCACGGCUCAACCGUGGAACUGCCUCAGAUACUGACGGCCUCGAGGGAGGUAGGGGCGAGCGGAACUAAUGGUGGAGCGGUGAAAUGCGUUGAUAUCAUUAGGAACUCCGGUGGCGAAGGCGGCUCGCUGGACCUUUUCUGACGCUGAGGCGCGAAAGCUAGGGGAGCAAACGGG